UUCUUUUUUUUUUUUUUUGAGAUGGAGUUUUGCUCUGUUGCCCAGGCUGGAGUACAGGGAUGGGAUCCUGGCUCACAGCAACUUCUGCCUCCUGGGUGUGAGCAAUUCUCCUGCCUCAGCCUCCUGAGUAGCUGGGACUACAGGUGUGUACCACCAUGCCCAGCUAAUUGUUUUGUUUUUAGUAGAGAGAGGAUUUCACCAUGUUGGCCAGGCUCAUCUCAAUCUCCUGACCUCAAGUCAUCUACCCACCUCGGCCUCCCAAAGUGCUGAGAUUACAACCACAAGACACUGCACCUGGCCCCCAUUCCAAUCUUUGAUCCCUUUUCCAGCAAACCUUAGUUCUUGCCUGCAGCAAAACACAGACUCAUCAGGGCCCAGCAGGGUGCUGCACAUCCAUCAAGUGCGGUGUCCCCUGAACUGUUGCUGGAGAACCUCACUGAGCCUGAACAGAAGCUUGGUGGGAGCCCAGCUGUCUUUGUUGCAUGGGGUGGUUCCACGAGACUCCGGGCUCUAAAGGCCAGCUCCUUCCUGAACCGGUCCUCCUUAUACCCUAGCAAGAGCAACUGAGUGGGUGCUCAGCCCCACCUGGACUGAGGCCUGGCUCCAGUGAGACCUUUCCUCAUUCCAUAUGCCUCACCUACACGUGGAAUCAGCUGUGUGAGGGGACAGCAUGGUUGAGACCAAUGUUUUUGGAAUCCCAUACACUAUACUAUGUAGCCUGACUUAAAACAGAGGAAUAUAGCCUUGCUUUCCACAAGUUCUCAUAGAGCCCGAGCUCAUGGCUCUGGGGUGAAAAGCUUGUCACUCUGGACUUAGGCAGCCAGAGCCUGGCUCCUGGCUCUGCCAGCUGUAGUCUUGGAUGUAGGGAAAGUUACUUACCCUCCCUGCCUCUCAUUUCGUUACCUUAUUUGUAAAGGUCAGAUGAUAAUACCCACCUUUUAAGGAUAAAAAGAUGAAAGAUGCAUAAAGCCUAGUGUGAGAGCAUGUACAUAAGACAUACUUGGGUUUUGAGUCCUGACUUUGUCAUUCCUGAUGGACUUAAACCUCAUUGAGCCUCAGUUACCAAAUCUGUGAAAUGGGAUUCUUGUGAGGAUUACAUAAGCUAAUGCUCUUAGUCCUGUGACUGGCAUGGAAGAUGAGCAAAAAUAUUAAUUUAUUUUCUGUUGAAGAGUGAGAUUGCAAUUAAAACUUAAUCUUGGAGUUUUGAGGAGAUUGCUGGAACACUCUAUUCCACAGCCAGCUUGGAUCAUCCAACAUAGCGUAAAAGGAAUCAACAUUUCUAGUUUCUAGUUUUGGUUUAACACUUUUAUUGUAGGUCACAUCUUCAUCAGGAAAAUGGGAAUGAACCACCCCAUUUUCCUAACAAACAGUGCUGCUAACAGGAAGCCUCAGGGGCCACGAGAGUACAGGGUGCUAGUGACUGUGGAGACCGCCUAUGAGUCAGAUCUGAGGAAAUGCAGGAAGGGAGGUGCCGUAAUUAUGAACACGGGCUCAGAGUCAGCCCAGCCGGCCUCCAUUAAAAUCCCAUCUGACCACUGAGUAACCCUGGGGAAGUGAUUUAACCUGUUAGACCUUCGUUUUCUACUUUGUAAACUGUGAAAAAUAUAGUACCUGUCCACAGGAGCCUGUUGAGAGAAGCAGAUGAGGUGAUCUAUGAACUGGACACAGGGCUGCAUCUGGCACGUGGGCCCAGUUCCCUUGUAGAGAGAGAAAAGGAAGACCCCAAAAAGGAAGGAGGGGAAGAAGGAAGAGGCAGAGAGAAAGAAGUGACUGAGUUCAAAAGUGCCAGAUCAGCCCUUCCCAAAUUUGCAGAGCCAGAUGUGGGCAUUCGCAGAAAGCUGAUCUUGCUCCCCUUAGGAGAAGCAAUGCUGAUGGCAGAUGGCCUGGUGGAAGGAGCAGGGGACAAGGAGUUAGAGGGCCUUGGUCCUCUUCUGAUCAUGCAGCAGGUGAGUUGUCUGACCUGGGCAGGUCCCUGAACCUCUCAGUCCUUCAGCUUUCUCUUCAGUAAAAUCAAAGAUUCUAACCAGAUAAUCUUUCCUCUUUGAAUCAGUAAUGUCUUUUAGAGAUGGAUUGACAUUCUACUCCAUGACCUUACGUACAAGCAGGGAUCACCCUUACCUCUGGGCACUGGUUUCAGAGAGAAUCUACUCCUUAGAAAGCCCAGAAUCUGAAGGAUAAAAUGCACAGAUUAAACAAUUAUCAAAUUAUGAAUUGAGCACCUGCUAUGGGCUUAUUGCUCUGGUAAAGGAUAGAUUUAUAAGCCUGGGAGAGAUAGCAAAUCCCCCUUUCUACAAAAAAAUACAAAAAUAUAAGCCAGGUGUGGUGGUGUGCACCUGUAUUCCCAGCUACUCAGGAGGCUGAGGUGGGAGAAUCUCUUGAGCCUGGGAGGUCAAAGCUGCAGUGAGCAGUGAUUGCUCCAAUUCACUCCAGUCUGGGUAACAGAGUGGAACCCUGUCUCAAAAGACGUAUAUGUAGAUUUAUAAAGAUGGUUUCUAAUCCCAGGUGAGCAGAAUUGCGUUUAUCUGAGUUUAUGGUAAAACAGACCAUUUAAGGUACGUCUUUUGUUUAUUUUUCUCCUGUCAUCUACUAUCCCAGAUCUAAAUCUUCCCCAGAGAGUCCAAGUUCUUAUUUUUUCUCUAGUAGGUCCUUGAAAAUCCACCUUCCACAGGCUUAUUUCUACACUUAACAUCCACAGAAAUUAUGUGGCAUUAUUUUGUAUGUUGUAAAACUGUACAUGAUGAUUUGUUUGUGUCAGUUUCAUUUUGAUCCAUUCUUCUUUGUUUUGCUCAGUACGGCACUUUGCCAUGCAUCAGCGAUGCUCUGUGUAACUCUGGCCAGUUCCUUUUAAUUGCUGCACAGUGUUCAGUAAACACGUAGAUGGCCGUCAGCUCUUCACCACGACAGGCAUUCUUGCACAAGUCUCCUUGCUUACCUGUAGGCCAGUCCUACUCCUGGGUUUAUGCCCCAGAGAGUAGAGUGUUCACAUACUCAGUUUCACUAUACUUUCCUACUGUUUUCCAAACGUUUGUACCAAUGUAUGUACGUUAUAUACUCCCACCAGUGCACAAGGGUCUCAUUUCCAUACAUCCUUCUUAGCAUUUGGUAUAGUUCAGAUUUCUAAUUUUGUCAGGGUGCUUCAUACAAAGCCUUAUUCUGAUUUGUCUUUCUCUUAUUACUAGAAAGGUUUAGCUCCUCUCUGUUUCCUUAUUCACCGUUCAGAUUUCUUAUGGGUAUUUUAUUGCUUAUCUUAAAGGAAUUACGAUUUAGGCCUGGCUCAGAAGGGGUAAGUGCUUACUAUAUAUCGCAAUGGACUGAAUGUUUAUGUCCCUCUCCCCUCAAUUCAAAUGUUGAAAUCUUAACCCCCAAGGUAAUGGGAGAGGUGAGACUCGAGAGAGAUCUGUUGCUCCUUUCACCAUGUGAGGACACAAUCAAAAGUUGGCCAUCUAUGAGCCGGGAAGUGGGUCCUCAUCAGAAACCAGACUGGUUCCCUUGAUCUUGGACUUCCCAGUCUCCAGAACUAUGAGAAAUUUCUGCCAUUUUAUAACAGAAAUGUUACGAGUAGUUUCUCCCAAUCUAAUACCAUCUGUUCACUUGAGCAGAAUCUUUAAUUUUGAUGUGGUCAAAUCCACCCUCUUCUCACUUUGUGGUUUGCAAUUCUAGAGUCUUGUUGGAGGGACCUUCCUCACUGAAGGUUCCAGAAUCGUUUUCUCAUUAACCUAACAAGAGACUCAAGGAGCCAUGUGGGGAUCACAGUAACUGCUUUUUAAGAGGCAGAUCCGGAAUGGAGAACAUAACAUUUCUACAUAGAGGCCUUUCUACCCUCUUCCCUUCCUGAAUUACAGGUGUCCAAGUCCACAGAGCAGGGCCAACCUGAUUUAGCCAUGCUUCCCAAGGUGGAGAAGCUGAAGAAAGGGGACCUCCUGUGGUGACAGUGCUUCUUUUAAGGGGUUCAUUCCAUGGGUCCUGGAAGCACGUGGCUCGCUGAACUUCAACAUAUGCACAGGUCAGGCUUUUACCCGUCCGCCUUGUCCCAUCCACCUUGUCCAGGGCAGAAACGUAUCUGAACAAAUGGAGAGGCACAUGACGUUCUCUCUAUGGCCAUUUACGUGUUUACUGAAACACUGUGCAGCAAUUGAAAGGAACUGACCAGAGUUACACAGAGCAUCACUGAUGGAUGGCAAAGUGCAGUACUGAGCGAAACAAAGAAGAAUGGAUCAAAACGAAACUGAUACAAACAAAAUCAUCAUGUACAGUUUUAUAACUCUCCUUCAUCUAGCCAAUCAGACUAGUCACCUCUCUCCUAUGAGGACAAGCAAGUGACAGGUUGGACGGGGAAGCCAAAGGAUUUCUUCAAGGACUUUUAUAUCCAGUAGAAAAGCAGGAGCCCUUCAUCUUUGGCCUAAAAUGAGCAUGCGAGAUUAGGAAGAGUAGAAAGUUCCUUUCUCUAGCUAAUCUUAAUAUCUUUAUAUUACAAUUGAAGAGGAGUCUCAGAGAGGCUGCGUCACUUGUCCAUGGUCAUACAGCAAGUAGUAGAGCUGAAAGUCAAAACCAGUCUCUGAAGUGAGACAGACUCUAACCCUUAACCACAAACGCAUAAUUUCUCCUCUGUCACCAAAAACCUCCGUAUAGACUGUGAUUCCCCAGUGCUCUAUUUCCUCCAAGUCAUAGAUACUCAGGAUGUCGCAACUUCAGCAGCCACUGCUCCCUUCUGCCUGAUCUAUCUGUGGAGGUCCUAGAGACCCCGAAGGCAAAGGGACUUGUCCAAAGCUGCCAGCAAAGUAGAGGCAGUAAAAUUACGUGUUUUAUAAACACAUCGUGAAGAGUUCUGCCUCACUGCUGGAUGCUUGUAGCCUUGAGCUUCUGUUCUGAAGCGGACUAUUGGAAAUAAUACAGAUUCAACUCAAUCUGGUUUAAGUUAAAAAGUCUCACAAAACUGAAAGUCUUAAGACAGGACCAGCUCCAGGUAUGCAGGGCCCAGGCACUCGGUUGAUACCUUCAGGACUCUUGCUAUCCCCGGGGUCUGCAUUUCUCUCUGUUCGAGUAAUUCUUGGUAAUGUUGACCAAAAGUGACUUCCAGGAAUUCUAAUUUGGCAUCCUUGUGGGCCAGUGACCCCAGCCAAAGGAGGAGAGACCUUUUCCAGCAGAAAUCCUGGAGCAGAUAUUCACAAGCUCUACUUGGUUGGAAUUAGGUCCCAGAUACACCCACGGGAAUGGUGGGAGGGAUAGCAAGGGAUGAAUCACAUGGGCUGAACCUGGGAAGGAAUGGUUUCCUAAAAUGAAAACUGAAUUGUGCUUACUGGAAUUGGGAAUGGAUCCUGAAAGGCAAAAACCUAGAUGUCAACACAACUGACAGAUUCAACACACAGCCAUAUCUGUGUAUUUCUCUAUUACUACCAUUGCUCUGCUACCAGGAAACCUGCAUUGCACACUCAUGCUACUCCAGACAGUGGGCCAAGCAUUUCAUAUGCAGUACCUUUUUUAUCCUCAGUGUACUUCUAUGCAGUGGCUACUAUCAUGAUUCCCAUUUUAAUGGAGAGGAUACCAAAGCUAAGGGAGGUUUCAUUACUAAUUCAGUGUCGCACAGCUAGUCAUGGGCAGAAUCCAAACUCAAACUCAGGAGUGCCUUAACUUAGAUCCCAUACUUUUAACAAAACAGUUAAUACCAGGAAAAGAGGACAUCUUUAUUCUGCAGGUAAUAUAAUGUAAAUCCUCCUCCUCCUGCCCCACUCCCUUAUUGGCCACCAAAUUGUAGAGCAGAAAGCACAAAUCCAUAUCAUCAUCGCUUCUGAUUUCUUCUUUUGAGAUUCUGGAUUUCCAUUGCAUUCAUAGACACUUUCUGGGAUAAAGCUAACCACCCACACAAGAGAACCGAUGUUAUAAGGUGACAGCUGCUUCUGGGUUGUCCAUAGCCAGAGAUAAACAUUAUUUGUUUUUCAGUUGUAAAAGGAUAUUCUUCCCUAAGUUGCCUGAAUCCAAACUGGCUAAACCACUUUUGUUCAAACUUUCCAAGCAAUUUCAUCGCUGGGAUGGAAACAGAGCAUGAAAUGAUUUGGAGCAAGAGGACAAUUUUUGGGUAAUUAUAAGUGAGUGAAAACAGGAGGUUAUAAUGGAAGUUGUCUUUCAACCCUUAACUCCAGCAUUUUGUAACCAAGAAUUCUGUCUCUCAGGUUUUGCUGGUGGAAACUAACACUGAGCAGUUGUCUGGAGCUGCUUCUAGAUAUUCAAUAAUUAGAAACAGCAACACUGACUCAGAAGCCUAUCAGCUGGCUUGCAGAGUACCACUUCACAAAAGGAAAAAAGGAAAAAAAAAGUUGCAAACUUGUAAAAGUAACAAUUGAACACAAAUCAUUAAAUAUGGCAUAUACAUUUUAACAGUGACUUGUACUUCUCCUUUAAAAAUUACAUUGUCAAAUAUCUAAUAUAAGUAAGUCCUAUAUGAGGAAUGAAUUGGAAGAAAAGUUGAAAAUUUUUCAGUAAUGACGAGAAGGCAAAAUCUCUUAUUUGGGGCCGUGCGGUCAAUGGAAGGAGACAGUGUGGUUUAGUAGUAAUUCAGGUGACACAGCUAGGAAGCUAAUUUGUCUGCAAAAAUGUCUUUUUAGAAUUUGGUCCAGGAUGGGUUCAAUCAUGUUCCAAUUUCCUCGAAGAGAUUUAAAAGCUGGAAAACACCCAGCUAUUGUCCAUGACUUAGACACAGGCUUCCUGGAGACAGAGAAACACUUUUUGGAAUGUCCCAUUCUAUUCAAAUGAUUUCUCAGGGCCUUCAUCUUUCCAUCUUACAAUGGGUGUGAUAACACAGAACAUAUGGAGAGCAUACACACACACACACACACACACACACACACAUGGAGAGAGACUGUAAUCUUUCUAACACUGCUGUGGCAUAUGGUAGAAACGAGAACAAAAGGCAUAGGUGGAAACAGAAAAUUUUCCUACAGCCUGGAACAGGGCUGGACUUAAGAGCAGAAAAGUUUCCCACUCACCUAUGAGUGCAUCCAUCACAGCAGCUCAGACAUCAUAGCCAUCGUUUUCUUUCCUGGGUGUGUUCAAGGCAGGUGAAGCCAGGAGGCAAGUGGGAUGCGGACUCCUGUACCUGUAUAUGCCACUCCGCUACCUGUAUAUGCCACUCCGCUCCAUUCCUGGGUUUAUUCUGGAAGUCGUCAUGGCCAGGUUCUGGCACCCUGUCUGAUACUUAAGUCUAUCUGAAAAUGUCUGUUGAAGGAAUGAAAGAUACCUCUCAGACCAGGGUUAGGGAUCUGGCCUGGGGCUGUCCCAAAUCUUCAAUACAGACUCUGAACACGAAGAGGCCCUUCUCCAUCUCCAAAAAGAACAAAAUGGUGUAACACUGGGGCUAGAAGCAGAAAGACUGUCUACGGAUAUAUUGAUUCUGGUGCCCUGGGCAGGUGCCACCUCCACCUCCUCCACAUGGCUGGCAAAGAGUGCUUUGUUCACACCUUUUCUCUGCACCCAAGGAGCUCACCUAGCCACACAUCCAUUAACAGAAGAAGCCGAGAACCAGCUGCUUCUUGUUCUCAAGCCGAGAACCUUGGACCUGGCCCUGAUGCUCAGCAUUAGGUGGGUAGGCCUUUUUAAGUUCAAGUUUCUUAAACUUAAAGAGAAGUUUAAGAAACUCAGUACUCAUCAACCUAUACAGAGCUAACAUUUACUCUACAUGCAAUUCUAUGCUAAGAUGCAGGGCAAAACGUAAAGUAUGGUCCUGUUUAUUCAAAAAAUCCCCAUAGAGGUGAUUGUAAGGUUUAUAAAACUGCAUAGAAAGAAGAUAGGAAGGAUACACACGGCUAAUAGCGGUUCCUUCUGGAGGAGUGUGGGACCAGAGGCAGUGCUGAGUACACACGGCUAACAGCGGUUCCUUCUGGAGGAGUGUGGGACCAGAGGCAGUGCUGAAUACACACGGCUAACAGUGGUUCCUUCUGGAGGAGUGUGGGACCGGAGGCAGUGCUGAAUACACACGGCUAACAGCGGUUCCUUCUGGAGGAGUGUGGGAACAGAGGCAGUGCUGAGUACACACGGCUAACAGCGGUUCCUUCUGGAGGAGUGUGGGAACAGAGGCAGUGCUGAAUACACACGGCUAACAGCGGUUCCUUCUGGAGGAGUGUGGGACCAGAGGCAGUGCUGAAUACACACAGCUAACAGCGGUUCCUUCUGGAGUGUGGGAACAGACGCAGUGCUGAGUACACACGGCUAACAGCGGUUCCUUCUGGAGGACUGUGGGACCAGAGGCAGUGCUGAAUACACACGGCUAACAGUGGUUCCUUCUGGAGGAGUGUGGGACCAGAGGCAGUGCUGAAUACACACGGCUAACAGCGGUUCCUUCUGGAGGAGUGUGGGACCAGAGGCAGUGCUGAAUACACACGGCUAACAGCGGUUCCUUCUGGAGUGUGGGACCAGAGGCAGUGCUGAAUACACACGGCUAACAGCGGUUCCUUCUGGAGGAGUGUGGGACCAGAGGCAGUGCUGAAUACACACGGCUAACAGCGGUUCCUUCUGGAGGAGUGUGGGACCAGAGGCAGUGCUGAGUACACACGGCUAACAGCGGUUCCUUCUGGAGGAGUGUGGGACCGGAGGCAGUGCUGAGUACACACGGCUAACAGCGGUUCCUUCUGGAGGAGUGUGGGAACGGAGGCAGUGCUGAGUACACACGGCUAACAGCGGUUCCUUCUGGAGUGUGGGACCAGAGGCAGUGCUGAAUACACACGGCUAACAGCGGUUCCUUCUGGAGGAGUGUGGGACCAGAGGCAGUGCUGAAUACACACGGC